UACGAAGGGGGCUAGCGUUGCUCGGAAUUACUGGGCGUAAAGCGCACGUAGGCGGAUUGUUAAGUCGGGGGUGAAAUCCUGGAGCUCAACUCCAGAACUGCCUUCGAUACUGGCGAUCUCGAGUUCGGGAGAGGUGAGUGGAACUGCGAGUGUAGAGGUGAAAUUCGUAGAUAUCAGGAGGAACACCGGUGGCGAAGGCGGCUGUCUGGACACUUACUGACACUGAGACGCGAAAGCGUGGGGAGCAAACAGG
rnacentral:rRNA from 1 species